rnacentral:tRNA from 1 species
UCAAGGGACCAAUGCUGGUUGUUGGCGUCUGCCUGUUAAGCAGAACAUCGCGGGUUCGAUUCCCGCCCCUUGAGCCA